AAGACGCCUUAGACCACUCGGCCACGGCACCUCCAUGCAAUCCAUGCGAGAUCAAAUCGACCGUACAUACGAUACGCGUACUGUAUACACGGAUUGAAAGAAAUCAUGGCUGCCGAACAAAUACUCGAUUCGUACAAUGACAAAAUAUUUGAGAGGAUUGUACGAAAGGAAUAUCUCACACAUUGCUUAUUUGAGGAUGAUGAGGGGAUUAGUAGUACUCGUAAUUAAGCACACAAUGUCACAUGACCCACCGGCGGGACGAACGAACAGCGAGAUACGUACACACUCGACUCAAACACAUCAUUCCAUACCCAACCCCCGGUCGUAGCGGACCUGUUGUAAGAGAGCUGUCACAGUGCCUGGAUAGAUAACAAGAAUAAGGUUCUAGCCUUUUAUGCUCACAAUAAGGUAGCUCCUGAUCAUUUCCAUGUGGUUUCCAAGAGAUGGAUCUCAGGCAUGUCAGAUGUAAAAGAGACUGAUAUAAUGAUUCUUGGUAAGAUGAUAUUCACUGCUACGAAGGUUGCCGAGCAAUUGGGAAUGGACAGAAAUGGUUAUCGUGUAGUGGUGAAUUGUGGUAAACAUGGCUGCAAUGGUUACUCUUGCUUGAAUAUCCAUGUCAUAGGUGGCAUGUUUCUUGGAUGGCCUCCAGGCACCUAGUAGGUGUAAUAUGAUUCAUUUUUGUGAGUUUCAACAGGUAGUUUAUCAAAAUAUUGGUGGUAAUGUUAAUUGAAGUGGGCUUAUAAUAAUCAAUAAUCAUGUAAUAUUUCAUAAAGUGCUUAAUACCAUGUUUCUUUAAUAAGUGAAACAUUUUAUUAUCCAAUUUUUAAUGAUGACUGCUAACGAUCAGGUAACAUAGUUGCUAUAUUUAAUUUACAUUAUUAUUUUAGUAUAAGUAUUUUGUAACAUUAUUUCUUCCUCCUGAUCCAGAAGUUAACAGAAAAUUCUGUAAAAAUGGCAAGAUAUUGGCAAUAUUUAGCCAAUUUCAAAUUCAUAUUUUCUGUCUGCCAUUUGUGUAUGAAUUUUGCGAUACAUUUUAUGUGAAUGUUCUUUCUGUGCAUAACUUUCCAGACUUCCGCAGUUGUAUCAGUGCAGGUACAUGUAUUUAAAACCUCUCACAGAAUUCUUUUCAAUUGAAGCAAAUAAUCAAUGUUUAUCAAAUCCAUGUAGAUAUGUUUGUAGAGGGAGCUUUCCAGACGAGAUUUGUAAACGUUGAUUGGUAAAGAGCCUCUCUAAGAUAAUGGGAAUGUGUCAAAAGUAAAUUGUAUAUAAUAUUUGAAUUUAACUUGCUAUUUGUGUGGACUGAGCCUUUAAGAAAAAUCAUAUGUGAUAACUUUGAAAUAGACUAAGGCUUGUAUUCAUACAACCUUUAAUCAUACUUAUUUUUGUUUUUGCAACUUAUACUCUUUCUACUGACUUCUCUUUUGGUUUUGUUUUUAAUAGAAAAAAAAUUGAAGGAAAACAAUUCUGAAUAUAUAAUCAAAAAUAUACAAUCAGAAAAGGCGUAAAUAUUCUUUUAGAAUGCAAAUGCUGUUAAAACAAACACCAACCAACCAACAGCAUAUAUUAUUGUAGCAAGAAUUAAUGUACAAUAGAUGAUUUUGUCAUUGUGAUAUUGUUGGGGUAUGGUUAAAUUUUUAUUAUCCAUGAUGUCUCAUUUAAAGAUUAAUCAUACUUCAUGCAUUCAAUUGUAACUUUGGUCUUGUCUGUUUCUAAAACUCUAGCAUCCUGUCAUUUGUUUAGAAAAAAAGAAACAAUUUAUUUUUAGUUGGUACAUUUUCUUGUAGGGUUAAUGAAAUAUAAUUCAAUGGAUACCAUGCAAGGUGUUUGUGAAGAAAGAAUUUUGUAUGGAACUGCCAUUUUUGUCUCGCCUGCAUAGCGCAGAGCGAGACUGGAGUGGCGGCGUCAACAUCAAAUUUUAACCAAUGAUUAAGUUUUUUAAGUGACAUCAUAACUAAGAAAGAAUAUGGACCUAGUUCAUGAAAUUUUGACGUCAAAUAUGUUGGGAGAACCAACAUCAAAAUCUUAACGUAAGGUUAAGUUUUUAUAAUGGUAUCAUAACCUAAAAAUGAUGUAAGGAUAGGAUUACUAAAUAUCCUGCCUGAGUUUCAGGUCACAUGACUUAUGUCAAAGGUCAUUUAGGGUCAAUGAACGUUGCCCAAGUUUGAGGUAUUUGUUGAAUUACCAUCAUAAAUUUAAAAGUUUAUGGAUCUAGUUCAUAAAACUUGGACAUAAGAGUAAUCAAGUAUCACUCAAAAUCCUGUGUGUGUUUCAGGUCACAUGACUAAAGUCAAUGUCAUUUAAGGUCAAUGAACUUUGGCCAUGUUGGGGUAAUGGUUGAAUUGCCUUCAUAACUUUGUAAGUUUAUGGAUGGAUAUACAGUAUGUAAUUAAUAACAUGUGGACAUAAGGGUAAUCAAGUAUCAGUAACAAGUCUUAGGUCACAUGAUCAAGGUCAAAUGUCAUUUAGGGUCAAUGAACAUAUGCAUGUAUAUCAUUAUGUGAAUGGUUUGUUUUGUGAAUAAUUAUUUUAUAGUAGUUUUCAGAGUCAUCACUGCUGCUAUAUUGAAUCAUGUAAUGCAGGCAAGACUGCUAAAGGCACUCCACUUGUUUACUAGCUCUAGCUGAUAGGUGACAUGGAGAUCGAAGGCUGUCCAUUAGAAAUCCAUUUUUUGUCAAAGACCAUCAUAUUAAAGGUUGUUUGUUGUAAUAUACCCUUUUAUGACAAUUAACUUUACAUCUCUAAGGGUGUGUUCAAUCAUGGACCUAUUAGAGAUGGACAUUCAACGCUAUCAUUUCUUUGAUCGAACAAGAUCCGCCGCCUAGUGAUUAUGUGCAUCUUAAUGAAAACAAUGGCGACUACCAAGGCGUAUCUGAUGAUUUACAAAGGUACAACUUUCCUGGUUUUGGAUUGUUUGGCUGAUGCCCUGUGUAAGAAAAUAUUUUUCAGUCAACAUGCUUAAGAUUUAAAGAAGCAAACAAUUUUAUGACAUACAAAUGUUAUUAUUUGAUCCGCAUACUUCUGCACGCACAUAAUAACCUCAAUAACAUUGAGAGAUAAAUGCUCUCUACUUGUUAUGAGCCAUGUAUCUCUGGAAUAUUAGGAGAAAAAUUUGACAAAAAUGGGGUUAUAAAUAAUAAACAAUUAAUCUCAGUUUGCAUCUAUCUUAAAAUACUGUAUACAUACAUUUUCCCAAAUAAAACACAUGGAACUAAGAUUGUCAAAGGUAAACCAGAACUGCAGAUUGAUUUUCCAGGAUUUAGGUAAUUUAUCAUCGUAUGCGCAUACAGUUUGUGCAAUAUCAAUGUCUAAUCACGAACUGCUUCUUUAAACUAAUUGACGGCGGAACACGGUAGGAUGAAAGUAGAAAAAUAUGAAGAGAAUGUUGUUCAAAGCACAAAGAUGGUCACAUGUAAGUGAAAUCAUUAUCUAUUUAAUGAAUGUCCAUCUCUAAUAGGUCCAUGGUUCAAUGUAAAUUUUUCAAAUUUAAACAGCAACAUGAAUCAUGAUUAGAAACAUGAUUAUAGAACACUAACAAGAUCAGGUUGCACCAUUCAGUGUCAAAAAUAUAAAGCUGUUUAUACAUGUACAUCAGUUGUCUUAAAUUUCCCACUCUCUUUUUGUCUCGCCCACCAGAGGUGAAGGCGAGACAUAGGGAUCCAAAUGUCGUCUGUCGUCCGUCCGUCACAAACCUUAUGACACAAAACUCCGCAACCGUAAGUCACUUUUCGACCACACUUUGAUGAUAGAUGUACUUGGGGGACCUGCAUGUUAUGCUGCAGUUGGAGGUCACAUGGUAAGUCAAAGGUCAUUUUCAGGUCAAUGUUAAAAUUUACAUGAAAGACUCUCUUAUGACACCUAACUCCGCAACCGUAAGUCACUUUUCAACCAAACGUGGAUGGCAGAUGGACUUAGGGGACCUGCUUGAUGCGCUGCAGUCAGAGGUCACAUGGUAAGGUCAAAGGUCAUUUUCAGGUCAACGUUAAAGUUUACAUGCUAGACGCUGUUAUGACACCUAACUCCGCAACUGCAUGUCACUUUUCACCCAAACUUUGAUUGUUGAUGUAGUUAGGAGACCUGCAUGUCAUGCUGCAGUCGCAGGUCACAUGGUAAGGUCAAAGGUCAUUUUGAGAUCAACAUUACAGUUUACUUGCAAGACUCUUAUGACAAGUGUUAUUCUAUCCCAGUCAUUUCACAAUGAAACAAAAUCGCUUAUACCUUUUGUUGCAUUCGCGAUGUUCAAGGUCAUAACAAUAUGAGCUGAUUGCAUUUCCAAACGUACCUUUUUCAGCAUUUGAAAUUUCCUCUGAAUCAAGAUCUGAAAGACAUUUACUUAUACAACUAGAAAUGGAGGACAUUGAAUAUCCACCAUUUUCCCCCAUAUUCAAGUUUUGUAAUCAUGUUUUUAAUCAUGAUUCAAGCUUCUGUUUGAACUUGAAAAUCGACAUUGAACACACCCUAACUCUGAGUGCAAUUUACAUGUAACUCGGGAUAUUAAUCCAGUGUCUUAACCUGCAUUUUAUGGUGCUGUCAAUAGUCAUGCUACAGUUAUAGGUCAUUUCAGGCCAUGUUUGCUAGCAGAACUAUAUCUGAACCUAUAUAAUAUUGUAAGCUUCUGGUUUCAACAAAACUUGAAGUAGUGGUAGAGUAAGUACAGUAUCGUUCAUGACGUGCCAUAGAAAGUCAGAUGUUUAGAUCAAUGGUCACCUGAAAGACUUUCUUUUUAAUGUUUUCCUCCUCAGAUGUAGUUUGGAUUAUCAUAAUUUUUGGGUUAAAACAAAGGAAGAAACUUUCAAAGCCUGCUUAGAUUGGAAAUCCCCAUGCCAUUGUUAAAUUACAUUAAAACCUGAAAAAUCUCA